AAUCUUCCGCAAUGGUCGCAAGUCUGACGGAGCAACGCCGCGUGAGUUAUGAAUGUUUCCGGAUCGUAAAACUCUGCUGUUAGGGAAGUACAAGUAUCCGAGUCACUGCCGGUACCUUUUCGGUAGUUGAUGAUUAAUAUCCGGCUAACUACGUGCCACCAGCCUCGGUAAAACGUAGGUGGCAUGCUCUGUCCGGAUUUCUUGGGGGUAAAGUGCGCGAAGGCGGUCUUUGAAGUCUGAUGUGAAAUCUUACGGCUUAACUGUAAGCGGUCAUUGGAAACUGAGAGACUUGAGUGCAGAAGAGGAGAGUGGAAUUCCAUGUGUAGCGGUGAAAUGCGUAGAGAUAUGGAGGAACACCAGUGGCGAAGGCGACUUUCUGGACUGUAACUGACGCUGAGGUACGAAAGCGUGGGUAGCGAACA
rnacentral:rRNA from 1 species